GCCUCCUUAGCUUAGUGGUAAAGCAGCGGUUUCGUAAACCGCGGACGCUAGUCCGAUUCUAGCAGGAGGCU
rfam:Microgenomates (Amesbacteria) bacterium GW2011_GWC2_47_8 TY11_C0005, whole genome shotgun sequence.